CGUUAUUUGACAGUUGUUUGACGGUUGUUUUGAUCUGCGGAUUAAAGGCGCUUGAAACCUGGCGUGAAGAGUCGUUAAGAGGGUAAACAAACAUAAAAAGCAGUGCUCGACGGAGCCAAUGUUGUGACUGGUGAUCAACUUUGCCGUCAUUCCUGUUACAGUUCGGGCCACAGAGCACCUGCUGUAGUUAUUCUUGUGUACUCUUUUUCUUAAAUUUGAUCUUUUUCUCCAUUUUUGUUUUGUUUACACUUGUUUUCUUUCGUGAUUUUGGAAGAUCGGAAAGUGACUGGCUAAAAGAAGCAUCUAGAUGGCAUAAUAGAUCCACAUUUUGUUUUUGUUUUUUUUAUCUUCCUGAUUACCAUUUUUUUUUUUAAAUCUGAAAUCCUGAGUUACAUUUUUGUUUUGGAAUAAAGAACCCAAAGACAGUUUUGUGUCCUGUGCAGGCUUGAAUUCGCCAGGCUACACAAUUUGGUACCAGGAGUGGGGUUCUGCAAAAUUAGAAACUCAGGAGUUUUUUCAAUAUAAUAAAAAACAUAUAAAAAAAAAAAAAAAAAAA